rnacentral:rRNA from 1 species
UAGGGAAUCUUCCGCAAUGGGCGAAAGCCUGACGGAGCAACGCCGCGUGAGUGAUGAAGGUCUUCGGAUCGUAAAACUCUGUUAUUAGGGAAGAACAAAUGUGUAAGUAACUAUGCACGUCUUGACGGUACCUAAUCAGAAAGCCACGGCUAACUACGUGCCAGCAGCCGCGGUAAUACGUAGGUGGCAAGCGUUAUCCGGAAUUAUUGGGCGUAAAGCGCGCGUAGGCGGUUUUUUAAGUCUGAUGUGAAAGCCCACGGCUCAACCGUGGAGGGUCAUUGGAAACUGGAAAACUUGGGUGCAGAAGGGGAAAGUGGAAUUCCAUGUGUAGCGGUGAAAUGCGCAGAGAUAUGGAGGGACACCAGUGGCGAAGGCGAGUUUCUGGUCUGUAACUGACGCUGAUGUGCGAAAGCGUGGGGAUCAAACAGG